rnacentral:lncRNA from 1 species
AUUCUUCCUGUUUCUUCUUCUCCUCCUUUCUCUUUCUGUCUCUGUCUCUCUCCAGCCCUUCAGGAACUCACUAAGUUCUUAAGCUGAGGAGAAUCAUGACAAACAGUACUGGUAGAACUUGGACAAUUUCAGUCAAGCCUUGAAGACAAAGGCAGGUGCACAGAAUAGAUGUGAGCCAGCCACACAGCAGAGAGGAAAGAAGCCUUAUACCAAGACGCAGUCCAACAUUUGGUUUCAUUUUGGGGGUCUGUUAAAGUCUGACGUCUCACUUGGUGAAAACACGGUGAAUCUGGGGAAGUUCCCUUGCCAGCCACAAAUCUUGGUGAC